AUGCAGGAUGGGCUCACCCUGACUGUCCCGGCGGCCAGGUUCAUCAUUCGCACAGGCUGCCAUCCCUGUGUCAUUAGGACCUUGGAACCACAACUAUUUCUGACACUGAGCUGUGGUUCCUUUCUGUCAGAGCCAGACGCUGCAGCAAUUAUCAUGAAAAAAAUAGUCGGACAAGGAACUUGCUUUGUGGACUUAAUUAAUAGAGAAGUCUUGUGGCCGGAAAGACUUUCCUUUUAUCGGCACUGGAAGGUUCUCAGGCAUCCGUCUGCAUGGAAUAAAAGGAGGCUUGGUCUCUCUAUUUCUGUCCACCUUUUUUCCCCCACCCCCAAACCCUGGCUCAGUGUUAGACAAGACACACUCGACAGAAACAGAACGGCUCCCCUGACAAAGGAAGCCGAGAGCCUGGAAGACGCGGCUGAAGGCACGAGAGAGAGCUCAUUUUUCUGAUUCCAUUAUGGGCACCACUGGUUGGGAAGCAAUUUUUGGAAAGUCCCGUAUUCACACAGUGUAAGGUUUAGAAGUGGUUGCCCCCAAUUACUGCAGCCAUGGCAGGAUGCGGAUUAAUUUGGAAAUAAGGAAAAACUUCAGGUGAGGCGGAGGAGACUACCCCGGCGGGAGGUUGGGGUCAUCUCUCCCAGGUAGCAAAGUUAAUGGGGAUUAAUGAGCUGCCAGGCCAUAAUAAUCAGGGAUGCCCCUGGCAACCAGCCCAAACGCAACUCCACGGAAGGCCCAGGCAGCCCUCUGUACCCUGAGAAGCUGAUUCCUUGGUCCUCAAGCAUCCCUUAUCAUGGCGUGCUCUUCCCAGAUGAUGGCGCCAUUGGUGGUGUGUCCCCCUCAGCCCACAGCCAGGAGGACGGGCACAGUCCCAUGGUCACAACUUCCCCCUCCCUCCUUCUGCAUGGGGGAUCAUGGGAAUGAUCCACGUGGACAGGCCAACCCGAGACAAAACAAGGUCUCAGCUUCAGUGUUCGUCCGCUGGUUAGACUUGGGCAGACCCUUCAACCUCAAGGAGCCCCCGUUUUCUCAUAUAAGAUGGGCACAGUGAUGACACCUAUAUAGAGGGGCUGUGAGAAUGAAAUAAGAGACGUGGAAUCGGAAGCUGUAAAUUGCUCUUCUGCUUGAAAUACUGGUGUUCUUGGCCACUGCCAGCUCUGCCGAGUCAAGGGCACCUUUGGAGAAAAGAGAGGGGAGACUCCAAGAGGAGUGGAGAUUUCCUCAGAUACCCCCAACGCCCUGUUCUUCUCUCGUCUGAUCACCAGAGGCCGGAGGGUGCUCUGCCAGCUCUUGACAUGACUCAGGACUCUUCUCCCUUCUCGAAAUAGUGAGACUGAAAUGCAACGGGAUCCCGGCUUCCUCUGGGGCUUCAUCGAGUGCUCCCCUCCUGGGGGCAGUUCACUGUGUCCCUGUCUCUCUCAUUGCCACAGACCGAGAGCCACUUGAUGGCAGGAACCAGGCCACUCGGCCGAUGCGUGGUCACAAUGUGGUCCCCUUCACCAUCAUGCUAGAGGAGCGGCAGGGCCCCCAAAGGCUCCCAAGAAGAUGAAAGCUGUUUCUCAGGUCUGUCUGAUUUCCUAGUAUCCACAAAUGCCCCCUGAUCGUUAAAAUGCUGUUAGAAAUGCACCUGCAGACCCCUGGUGGACACGGAUUAAGCUCGGAAGCUCAAUGCAGCGGGAUGGGUCUGCCCCUCCCCCUUCCCAUCCGUGUUGGAGAUGGAGAGGCCACCUUUUUCUCACUUAUUGAAUGUGCAGCAAAAAACGGAGUAAGAGCGGAACAGAACAGUCCAUGGAGAUUCAAGUGGUUGCUUCUAAAUGGUUCUCGGGCCACAGGCACAGUGCCUGCUCUCAGGAACGGCGCUCUCUGCAAAGACGAACAGGACACAGUGGCCUCCUUGGGUGGCGGGUGAGCCCCGUCAGAGCUGCGGCCGAGGCUGCGAGCCGGCGUCGGGGAUGUGCCGUGGGGAGGAAGGCAGGGGCCCGUCUGCUCAGUUCCCUGGGGAAGGUGGGGGCUGGGCCUGGAAUCCUGGCCCCUAAAUAGCUAGGAGACCAUUUCUUUGUUGGUCUCUGAGCAAAUAAAGAGAGCACCACCUUGUCA
rnacentral:lncRNA from 1 species